rnacentral:rRNA from 1 species
GACGAACCGUGCGAACGUUGUUCGGAAUCACUGGGCGUAAAGGGCGCGUAGGCGGCCUGCUAAGUCGAACGUGAAAUCCCCGGGCUCAACCCGGGAACUGCGUCCGAUACUGGCAGGCUUGAAUCCGGGAGAGGGAUGUGGAAUUCCAGGUGUAGCGGUGAAAUGCGUAGAUAUCUGGAGGAACACCGGUGGCGAAGGCGGCAUCCUGGACCGGUAUUGACGCUGAUGCGCGAAAGCCAGGGGAGCAAACGGG